rnacentral:tRNA from 1 species
GCCGCCGUAGCUCAGCCCGGUAGAGCGGCGGGCUGUUAACCCUGCAGGAACCCGUAGGUCCCGGGUUCAAAUCCCGGCGGCGGCG